UCUUUGUAUAGAGAAAGGCCAUUGACU
rnacentral:piRNA from 1 species